rnacentral:lncRNA from 1 species
CGGAACCUCAGGAAGAGGGCUGAGAAAGGGCAGUGACCCUGGGCAAGGUCACUAGUGGGCCUGGGCCUGGGAUGCAGGCAGUGUGACUGGGAGGCCUGCCUGAGCUUGUCCCACCAUCUCAGGUUUCGAGCAGAUCCCUCUGGGCCUGGGUUGGCCUGUGUCCCUGAGGAGGCCCCCUCUGCCCCGCAGCCGCAGCCCCCACCCAGCCCGAGGUGGGCGGAGAGGCCUCCGUCUCAGGCAGGCGCAGCACCUGCCCAGGGGCUCCAUAAAUGUCUGACUUAAUCGGAGCCAGGCAAGGGCUGCUGCGGGCUCAGAUGCCAGCUCCCUUGCCCUCUGAGGAGGAUGCGAAGUCACCAGUGGGCUUUCCCUGUCUUGGCCCUGUACACUGAGAACUGGGGGCAGGUGUCGGCGCUGUGCAUUGUUUCUGUUAUUCCAUAACUGUGGAGUGAUCACCUACUAUGUGCUAGGCACUGUUCUAGGUGCUGGGGAUACAGCGGGGAACUAAAAAGACAAAAUUCCUGCCUUAGUGGAGCUUAUAUUUUAGUCGGGAUAAAUAAGCAAAAUAAACGAGAAGGUAAAAUUGGCUAUUUGAAGAAACAGAGCAGGGUAGAGUGAGGAGAAUGAAGAGCUGAGGAGGUGGAGGGUGUUGCAGUUUUAAAUGGGACGGUCAAGGAUGGCCUCACUGAGAUGACAUUUGACAAAGACUUGAAGGAAGUGAGACAGAGCCAUGAGGAUAUCCCUGGGGAAGAGCAUUCGAGGCAGAGGAAACAGCAAGUACAAAGGUCCUGAGAUCUUUUUGGUGAGGCGUAUUUUGGGCAUAUUUGGUGAGUUGGAGGAAAAGCAAAGAGACCAGAGCGGCUGGAGUGGAGUAACUGGGAGGAGGGAAAUAGGAGAGCUCACAGGUGGGAGUAGGUGUUGUCGUUCAUGUAGGGUCUUGUGGGCCAUUAUAAAGACUUUGGCUUUUAUUCUGGUGAAAUGGGGCGUCCGUGCAGGGCUUUUAACAAAAGAGUGUCUUGGUCUGACCUACAUUUUAGGAAUAUCAGUGUGGCUGCAGUGCUGAGAAUACUGCUAAUAGUUCAGGAAAGAGAUGGUGGUGGAUGGACCAGGGUGAUAGCUGCGGGGGUGGGGAGUGUAUUGGAUGCUGGAUACUGCAUCUGAGGAUGGAGCUGACAGUCUGGAAUGCCAGGGAGGAGGAAGCAUCAAGUCAUAAUCAGCAUCAUCCCUUCUAGGGGUACCUGACUCUAGCUUUCCAAGAGUUCUCACAUGCAGGUUCGUCUCUCAUCCCCUGGCAGCCUUGAGGCUGUUCUUGGGAAGAACAGAUGUUGUGGACCCUGCUGACCAAUGAGGAAGCUGAAACUCAGGCUGUAAGAGAUGUGAGAAGGGAAGAUGAAGAGAUGCCUUCUGACGACCAGCAUAACCUCAGGCACUCCCAAAGACCUAUGGGUGAGGAAGGUUGACCUGAUGAGCCCCAGACACUGUGGAUAGCCUAAGAAAAGGGGAAAUAGAAUGUUCAAGUUUCAACAGGGGACCCUUUGGUGCCCUGGUCCCUUGGUUCCACCAAGAGGGAAUAGGAAAAGAAAGAGAAAGGAUCUCCAUAGGAGAUAUUUCCCCUCUCCCUCAAAGCCUCAUAUUCUCCUCUCAACUCUAGCAUAGACGUCUGUCUCUCCAGAUGUUUGCCUGGCAUGUUCUCUCCCCUCUGGUCCAGGGGAGAAAUUCGUGUGCAUUUUUUGAGACCCAAGCCAAAGGUCACCGAGAAGCCUUGCUCAACAUCUGACACAUCCUUUGUGAUCCCACAGCAGUGUUAUUUCUCUCUGUGAUAGGACUUCUAAUAACACACUUUGCCAUCAUAACAACUGAUGAUUAGACUGCCUCACUGUCUACACUGUCUCCAGUGUGGCCGCACUGUAAUGUAAAUUUCUGGUGUCCAUCUCUCCGCCCUGCUAGCUGAUAAGUUCCAAGAUAAGGCCUGUGUCUUCAUGAGGGCAGAGUGAAGCCGGAAUCCUGCCUCAGCAUGUGCUGCCUGGGCAGUGGCUUUCGCCUCUCCAUGCCUAGAGACAUACCGGUGAUGGCAUGAGGAGACGGUCCCCAAAUUGUCUUCCGGGCAUUGGUAUUACAGGUUUGACAAUGAUGUGGAAAACCACACCCUGUAGGCCGAAUCCAGCCUUGAGGCCUGGUGAUACCCGGCAGGAAAGAAGCGAAGUGGAAGAUGGCUCAGGAAGUCUGACUCCAGGCUAAUUCCUUGAGGAAAGCUGGCUUGCCAGGAGCGGUGGAGGCAAGCUGUUGGCUCAGAGUGAAGGAAGAUUUCUGAAAAUACAAAACAUGAUGUCAAGGGGGAGCAAUCUCUGAGGGUCUUUUCUCCAGACUAUGGUAUCUUUGGAAUGGAAACCACACAGCUGCAUGAUGAUGCAGGAGGUUGCCAGAUUUCAUUCCAUGGUCCUGACCGCAGUCCAGGUUUGAUCGUCAGCUAUUUAACACACAAGAAGCAGACGAUGUUUAUGACUUCAGACAGCGGCCUUGAUUUCACAGAGAAAAUAGGAAAGCUUAUUAUUUUGCACAUGAACCGUGAGAAGCAGACCAGCUUACUCCCACGAAGGCUGGUCACCUGGUGCCCUGAUGAAGAUUUCUCAGAGGGAAUGUGUGGCCCCUCAUCCCAGUGGCUACCUAGUCACUUCUCAAGAAAGUACAGUGCUCUGAUGACUGGGCGGACGUGCGCGGCCUCUGACUGCGGCCGUGGUGAUGUUCUCUCACACUGUAAAGGGGAGGAACGGGCCCCAGCAUGGAGACUGAUGGAAUCAACACGACUCUGCUGUAAUUUGCAUUCCUUUCUUUCUCAAGGAUGGAAAUUAAUAUUUGGCAUCUAUGAGCCUUUUUUCGAACUUAUCUAAGAAUAAAACCCUCAUUGUUGGAUGCCAUGUCUUGAUAAUAAAUGGCAACAUUAUUCCAUUAUUCUGCAACGCCACAGGGACUCGCCCGGCCCAGGGCGGGUGAAGGUUGGGGGAGGGAAGAGGAGCUUCCUGGGUGAAGAGGCCUCAGCAACACGAAGCCAGGUUGAGGUAUUUCAUCCUCGCUGCUCACAUCAGAGCACAACAGUGUUUUGACCCGUGGGAAAGCACUUUGAAAACAUCUGCCUUUCCAUUUUUCUUCUCUUUGAUUUCACUGAAUUCAAUUCCAUACGUGGUUAUUAAGCAGCUACUAAAUAUCAGGAUGGUGCUGAAUUCCCUCCCUCUCCAUCCCAACCAAGCAAACAAAAGAGGAGGAGGAUGUCCCUGUCCUCCUGGAGGUUGGGAUCUGCUGGGGAGACAGACGGAUGUUUAAAAUGGCCAGACAAGAACACAGGCCAGAGCAGAUCAGCUGCGGAGUGGCCAUUGAUGUCGUUUCUGCCUAUCUCCAGUCUCUAUCUUCUGGUUCCGUCCCAUUUGGCUUUCGAGGAAUCGCCUCAAACCAGCAUCAUUCAGGGCCUGUCGGGGGAGAUGCCAGCCCUCCUCCAGCCAGGGCUGGGCACGUGGCCGCCAGGCAGCUCGACCCUCCUCCCAGGCCGGUGAGUCUUGCCUGGAGGGACACAAGGAUAAAGGAAGAGGAAACACACUCACACAUACUCAUUCACAUCCCUCUUCAGACUGUUCAGCACAGAGGCCCAGAUGAGACAGCCCACCUCCUUUUGUUCCCCAGACCCCAAGGGUCAGCCCAGGUUCCUGCCUGUUCCAAGCCAGCUUCUGUGUUCCUUUGGUUCUGUGGUUCUCCUAUUUCCUGUCAUCCAUUCCCUUUGUGCUCAGAGGUAGUUUUUGUUGCUUUCAAACAAAGAACCUGAGUGGGACACCUGGCAAGUUAUUUUUAUGUCCAUCAGAGUUGGAAAAGAUUAGAGAACAUGACUAGCGCUCAGGGAGACUGACAGAACUGUCCAGAGCCCAGACUCAGACAGAGAAAUGCUGGCCCUGCAGCUGUGAACUCUGAAAACAGAAGAAAGACUGCCUGAAAUAUAGAGAGCAUGGAACCCUUCUGUGUUGGUCAGAUGAACAGAGAUCUUUAUUUUAUUUUAUUUUUGAGGAAGAUUAGCUCUGAGCUAACAUCUGCUGCCAAUCCUCCUCUUUUUGCUGAGGAAGACUGGCUCUGAGCUAACAUCCACACUCAUCUUCCUCUACUUUAUAUGUGGGACGCCUGCCACAGCAUGGCUUGCCAAGCGGUGCAGUGUCCGCACCCGGGAUCUGAACUGGCAAACCCUGGGCCACCAAAGCGGAACGUGCAAACUUAACCACAGCGCCAUGGGGCCAGCUCCUGAACAGAGAUCUUAAUAUCGCCUCCCUGCUCUUCACCCCCUGCAUGCUCAGUACAGGACAUCCCACACAGUGGGAGUCACUGCUCAGAGGAAGCCUGUGGAUGGAUUCAGUUCCAUAGGUCACUCAUUGUGCCAGGUCCACGAGCCCCCAAAGGCCUGGCGGCCUGUCUGAACUCCGUACAUCUGCUAACCACCCUGGGGAUCAUCUGGGUUAAAAUCUUAAUCCUCAGGCAGCCUCCUCUCACCACCCCGUGUGCUCAGAGGGGGCUGUCUCCCCUACCAGUUGUUAAGGGAAUGUUUCAAAACUGGUUUGAACAAAAUGACUGAGGUGCUGUCUGUUGCUUGUGGCUCUCUGUCUCCUUGUAUCUCUGUCCCUCUCCUCCAGGUUAUGUAAUCAAGAACUGGCUGCUCUUUGCCGGGGGGACUAGGCCUACGUUGCCUUUUACAAAUCAUUAUGAAAUAUCUCCAACAUACGACAAGGCUUCAGGAAUACUACUGUGAACACCUGUGUGCUACCACUAAGCUCAAGAAAUAACACAUUAGGAACACAGUUGGGGCUCCUGUAAAUGCCUGCCAAGAGAGCCCCAGACUCUAACCCAGAGCUUUGCAGCUUCUCAUAGGUUUGGGAUCAAUAGCAGUUCAAGACGGGCCGCAGCUACACACAGCUUCUGUCUCCACUCAGGUCUACAAGAUUAAUAAUUAUUGUCCAGAUGACUAUAUUUCUCUGCAUCCAGAAUGAGUCACCAGUGGCAAGAUCAACACGGGCAGGCCUGUGUGGGGAGCUGAAAUUUUGGCUGUGCCCCCUUCUCAUCCUAAUAAUAACCACACAGUCGAGGUGGGGGGUGUUAUGACAUAUUGCCCAGACCCAUGACCUUCCCCUCUGCGCGGACCUCCUACAGAGCCACCACGCCCAACUUCUUCAGGCCGUGCUGGCUCUUCCCCCUCUUGGCUCCCUCUUUAAGCUCUGUAGUAUAUUACUGGCCUUAGGCCCUCCCUCAAUGUUUGUAAUCUAUGAAUAACUACUGUAAUUUUUGAGUAGCAGACACGUUAUACAGAAUUUACAGUAUAAAGAAUUACCCCAAAGAAUGUUCCAGUCUUCUACAGCCUGAGGGCCUGUUACAGAAGGAAACUGACUAAAGGAUUACAGUAACCUUAUCCUUAUUUUGCAGAUGGGGAAACUGAGGCCCAGAGAGCCCUGACCCCACAAUGGCGAGAACUUGGGCAGUAUUGGGGGUAGGGGUAUUAAACUUGCUGAGAAGGUGGGAUUUGAGGCAGAGUUCUGCCCAGACCUUCCACCAGGCUGAUGCUGACGUUCUGCCAGGCUAAUCCCUCCACUGUUUGGUGGUUUUUAGCCACUCGUGGUCAUGCUACAUUGUUCAAUGGAGGGACGCAGGGUGGCCUUAGUCUGUUUCCUGUGAGUUCUCCACGAGUACCAACUGCAGCCUCCAACUAACAAUUUGCAAAGUACUGACUGGUAUGUUGGUACAAUUUGCAAAGUACUGACUGGUGGUUUUGCUCAGCUGUAUCAUCUGUGACUAUGACAGUCUGAUAGAAUAA